UUUUAGUUUAUGCUGACAAUGUGUAUGGUUGUAUAUAGAUUUAGAUUUGUACACGUACACGUACACGUACACCUACAAAUAUCUAUAUACAACCAUACUAAAUAUAACACACACAAUAUAAGCUUGUAUCAAUGUGCAACCCAGACAACUGCUGGAGAGCAUAUGUUGUGGUGUACAUGUACACAUAUUCAUAGUAUAUGAAUAUCAUCCACAUACACCCACAGACUUGUUAAUGAUCCUUCCGCAGGUUCACCUACGGAAA
rnacentral:misc_RNA from 1 species